rnacentral:tRNA from 2 species
GCCCUCGUAGCUCAGGGGAGAAGAGCAGUGGUUUCCUAAACCACGUGCGGAGGUUCGAGUCCUCCCGGGGGCA